rnacentral:rRNA from 1 species
CCUACGGGAGGCAGCAGUGAGGAAUAUUGGUCAAUGGACGAGAGUCUGAACCAGCCAAGUAGCGUGAAGGAUGACUGCCCUAUGGGUUGUAAACUUCUUUUAUAUGGGAAUAAAAUGUUCCACGUGUGGGAUUUUGUAUGUACCAUAUGAAUAAGGAUCGGCUAACUCCGUGCCAGCAGCCGCGGUAAUACGGAGGAUCCGAGCGUUAUCCGGAUUUCUUGGGUUUAAAGGGAGCGUAGGUGGAUUGUUAAGUCAGUUGUGAAAGUUUGCGGCUCAACCGUAAAAUUGCAGUUGAAACUGGCAGUCUUGAGUGCAGUAGAGGUGGGCGGAAUUCGUGGUGUAGCGGUGAAAUGCGUAGAUAUCACGAAGAACUCCGAUUGCGAAGGCAGCUCACUGGACUGCAACUGACACUGAGGCUCGAAAGUGUGGGUAUCAAACAGGAUUAGAUACCCCAGUAGUC